rnacentral:misc_RNA from 1 species
UCAAACUUGGUCAUUUAGAGGAAGUAAAAGUCGUAACAAGGUUUCCGUAGGUGAACCUGCGGAAGGAUCAUUACCGAAGUCCCGAGCGGGCCUGUGCCGUACGUGAGUGAAGUGCACGGCCCGUCUCACACACACACACCGGUGCACGGAAGGGGAAGGAGGGUCUUCCCUCCUCCCCCCCAUAAAAAACGCCUUUUUGAAACUGGGAGCCACAACGUGUGCAACCUUUGACAACUUUCAACAACGGAUCUCUUGGCUCUCGCAUCGAUGAAGAACGCAGC